AUUGAACGCUGGCGGCAGGCUUAACACAUGCAAGUCGAGCGGAGAUGAGGUGCUUGCACCUUAUCUUAGCGGCGGACGGGUGAGUAAUGCUUAGGAAUCUGCCUAUUAGUGGGGGACAACAUUCCGAAAGGGAUGCUAAUACCGCAUACGUCCUACGGGAGAAAGCAGGGGAUCUGCGGACCUUGCGCUAAUAGAUGAGCCUAAGUCGGAUUAGCUAGUUGGUGGGGUAAAGGCCUACCAAGGCGACGAUCUGUAGCGGGUCUGAGAGGAUGAUCCGCCACACUGGGACUGAGACACGGCCCAGACUCCUACGGGAGGCAGCAGUGGGGAAUAUUGGACAAUGGGGGGAACCCUGAUCCAGCCAUGCCGCGUGUGUGAAGAAGGCCUUAUGGUUGUAAAGCACUUUAAGCGAGGAGGAGGCUACUGAGACUAAUACUCUUGGAUAGUGGACGUUACUCGCAGAAUAAGCACCGGCUAACUCUGUGCCAGCCGCCGCCGUAACAC
rnacentral:rRNA from 1 species